rnacentral:misc_RNA from 1 species
AGAUUACAACAUCAAGUUACGAAACUUGGUGAGUUUUCUGAAUGAUGGGGAUAAGGUGAAGAUUACUUUGCGCUUUAGAGGGCGUGAAAUGGCGCAUCAGGAAUUUGGUGUACGUUUGCUAGAACGUGUCAGAGACGAAUUGGAGUCCUAUGCAGUAGUGGAGCAGUUUCCAAGAAUGGAAGGGCGACAAAUGGUAAUGGUGUUGUCACCGAAGAAAAAAGACUUAAAAGUAGGCAAGUCACAAGAGGAGAAAUCAAAAGAUACCGUCUCCCGUUCUACGGUAGCUUCUUAAAUUUUAUUUGUUUUGAUCUUUUGAUGUGCAGUUGAAA